CUCUUUCCUAUUUCAUUAUUACCCGGAUCUUGUGUUUACGUCGCAGUCUGAAGUUUCUUGCAAUGGGAUUCGCUAUUUGGAGACUAAUUAUGGUGAUUUUGAUCCACUGAUCAAGGACUUCCUCAGGCGACAAUUAGAUUAUUAACGUUUGGGCGAGUUUGACCAACAUUCGAUAUUGAUUAGUGGAAUUCUACAACAUUAAGUAGGUAAUGUUCGUAGUGGAGGCGUUUGGGAUUGAUUAUUUUGUCAAAAGCAUUGUAUCGCUAAACUCCCAGAUUUAAGAGUGUAGCACGUAAGUUUUGCCGAUCUUGAUCCGCUUAAUUUCUCCAUUUGUU